CACAAUCCUUGUGUUCCAGCUUCUAAUCUUCAAAUCAUACAUCAGAUGUAGCAUCAUCUAGGACUUGGGUGUUCCUUUAGUAGUUGUAAACAUCUAGAUGCCAAUACCUAUAGGAAGUUAAGCCAGGGAUUAGAAAUCUAACUUCAGUCGCAGCCCACAGGGCCUGGGGACCGGGAAAGUUUUUGACUGUACCUGAUGUGUUGGCGAUAUUUAAAGGCUCACACAGUGAUCAUUCUGUUUAAAUGGGUUCCCCGGUUCUUAUCAAGGGCAGGUCCUAGCAUGGUAAUCACCUGUGGCAUGGUCAUUCCUCCAGAAACAAUUAUUUCUGUAGAGAGCUAAUAGCAGAAACUUAAGAUUAGAAAUCCAGGUGAUAUAGUAAGAGUGCUAUUAAAAAGACCAUCAAACUUAACAACCGCAAA
rnacentral:lncRNA from 1 species